GAUGAACGCUAGCGGCAGGCUUAACACAUGCAAGUCGAGGGGCAGCAUUGAUGCUUGCAUCAGAUGGCGACCGGCGCACGGGUGCGUAACGCGUAUGAAACCUACCUUAUACAGGGAGAUAGCCCAGAGAAAUUUGGAUUAAUACCCCAUGGUACUGUGAAUCUGCAUGGAUUUAUAGUUAAAGAUUUAUCGGUAUAAGAUGGUCAUGCGUUCUAUUAGUUAGUUGGUAAGGUAACGGCUUACCAAGACCGCGAUAGAUAGGGGCCCUGAGAGGGGGAUCCCCCACACUGGUACUGAGACACGGACCAG
rnacentral:rRNA from 1 species